GUUAAAUAAAAGUAUUUUUUUAUUAUUUAUUUUAGUAUUGUUUAGGAAUUUAUUGGAAUUAUUAUAGUUUAAUUUUACAGUGAUGGAUAUAUGAAAGAAUUGAAACGUUUAUUUGAAAGUAGAAGAAUGAUUGUACCUUUUGUAUCAGGGUUUAUUAAAAAUAAUUAAUUUAUUUUUUGUUCUCGAAUUGAGAGGAGUUAUUUAUUUAUGAUUAAUAUUGUUGUAUAAAUAUAUUUAAUUAAUAAAUGGUAAUGAUAUGUUAUUCGUUUCUCAAGAUAUCUAGUUUCUCAAGAUGGGAAUUUAAUUUCGGUUUUUUAUUAUAAUACUUAUUAAUAUGUAUGUAUAUAUAUAUAUAUAUAUUUAUAUAUAUAUAUUAUGAAUAUUAUUUAAGAGUCUUACUGAUCUGGGGAUAAGCUUGGAUUUGUGAAUUAAAUAUUACGUUAUGUUAAUGGGAUAUGAGCUUUAAAUUAGUUAUUGUUUGUGAGUUUGUUAUAAAUUAUAUAUAUAUAUAUAUAUAGGUAAUUUAUAUAAUUUAGUGUAUUAAUGUUAUAUAUUGAGAUAUUAAAGUUAAUUUAUACUUUAAGUAAUGAUGAUGUAAUUAGUAGAUGAUUUGUUGAUUUAAAUAUGUUGAUUAUUUACUUUAAGGAAUUAGGCAAAAUUAGUUGUUCGCCUGUUUAUCAAAAACAUGUCUUCUUGUUUUGAUUUGAAGUCGUGCCUGCCCACUGAGGAGUUGAAUGGCCGCGGUAUAUUGACCGUGCAAAGGUAGCAUAAUCAUUAGUCUUUUAAUUGGAGGCUGGAAUGAAUGGUUUGACGAAAUAAUAACUGUCUCGGAGUGAUGUAUUGAAUUUUACUUUUGAGUUAAAAGGCUCAAAUGAAAAUAGGGGACGAGAAGACCCUAUAGAUCUUAAUAUUAUUAUAUUGAAAUUUAUGUUUGGUGGUUUUUUAUAGAUGUUAAUAUAUUGUAUUUGGUUGGGGUGACAAGAGAAUAAUUUAACUUCUUUAUGUUUAACUAUGAUGAUUGGUUAAUUGAUCCUGUAUUAUGGAAUGAAGAUAAAGAUACCUUAGGGAUAACAGCGUAAUGUUAUUGGAGAGUUCAUAUUGAUAAUAAAGAUUGCGACCUCGAUGUUGGAUUAAGAAGAUUGUUAAGUGCAGGAGCUUAAUAUAUUGGUCUGUUCGACCAUUGAAUUCUUACAUGAUCUGAGUUCAGACCGGUGUGAGCCAGGUUGGUUUCUAUCUCUAUUUAUAGCUAUGUACUUUAGUACGAAAGGAUUAAGUACAUUAAAUAAUUUAUUAUUUGGAAUUAUAUUAAUU
rnacentral:rRNA from 1 species